AUUCACUCCAUGUCAUUGACAAACAAUUGUAACAGGAAGUGUUUGAUAAAGACCAUUUCAAAGCAGACGACGAAAUGGGAAAUGCUCAUCUCAGUCUUCAGCCUUUGGUUGCAGCUGCUAGAUUGAGAACUAUUCUCGGGGUUGCUUCUGAGGGGACAACAUUAAGGAAGGUUAUCCCGAAUAAAGACAACUGCCUAGCAAUCGAUAGCAGCAUUAGUUGGGUGAAUGGUGAAGUUGUACAAGAUGUUUGGUUAAGGCUUUGUGAUGUGGAGUCUGGGGACAUUGAGUUGAAGAUCAAAUUGAGUGAUCUUUCCUCCGUUGUUCCAGCCUCCACGUAGAAUGGUUAUCAGUGACAUUGAUGCAGGUCUCGUUUGAGCUAUAUACGUCUUGUUAUAGGCCAAAAAAGACGUCUAGUAGAAGAAGCGCCUGUGUUUGACAUUUUUAGAUUGGAACUCAAACAAAUGAUAUUUGUAGAUUUUGAUCAAGUAUGUGCAUAACUCAAAUUGGAGUGAUUUAAGAAGUGGAAGGGGGAUUUUUGCUGUAUCUGUUUU
rnacentral:misc_RNA from 1 species